GACGAACGCUGGCGGCGUGCUUAACACAUGCAAGUCGAACGAUCGAAGGCCUUUCGGGUGGAUUAGUGGCGAACGGGUGAGUAACACGUGGGCAAUCUGCCCUGUACUUUGGGAUAAGCCGUUAGGAAACGGGGUCUAAUACCGGGAUAUCACUUACCUCCGCAUGGGGGUUUGUUGAAAGUUCGUGGCGGUACAGGAUGAGCCCGCGGCCUA
rnacentral:rRNA from 1 species